CAGGAUGUCACGGUUCGAUUCCCCAUCGGGCACAUACCCGUGUUGUGGGCUCGAUUCCCAGUAGGGGGGUGUAGGAGACAAUCAUAGAUAUUUCUCUCCCUCUCCAUUCCUCUCUCACAAAUCAACAAAAACGUAUUUUCAAAAACCUAAAAAUAUGAGUAAAUAUAAUCAAAAUACAAGCAUGAUUUAAUAUUAGAAAUCUGUCAAUAUAACAUACAAAGUCAAACAGCCGAAACAGCAUCAUUUCAA